UACGAGGGGGGCGAGCGUUGAUCGGAAUUAUUGGGCGUAAAGGGUGCGUAGGCGGCCUGACAAGUCUGAUGUGAAAUCCCUGGGCUCAACCCAGGGCCUGCAUCGGAAACUGUCGGGCUUGAGUAUGGGAGAGGUGAGUGGAAUUUCCGGUGUAGCGGUGAAAUGCGUAGAUAUCGGAAGGAACACCUGUGGCGAAAGCGGCUCACUGGACCAUUACUGACGCUGAGGCACGAAAGCUAGGGGAGCAAACAGG
rnacentral:rRNA from 1 species